rnacentral:lncRNA from 1 species
GGCCCUUUCGCCUAAGUAAGCAUUGUGGUUCGCGUAAAAAGGUAGGCAAUGUUAAAAAAAAAAAAAAGUAAGGGGACUAAAUUGCAAGAAGAUAAUAAACCUCUUUCCCAUUAAGUUAGAGGAUUUAAAGAGUAAAGUGGGGAGUUAGUGAAAGAAAAGCUCUUGAAAUUUCUUUAGUUAAUACUCAGCCACUAAUUGGGUCAAAUUGAUAAUCCAAUGAAAUAUCUCUUUAAUAGUCUGACCAGGUAUCAUCUACCUAUUGGGAUGCCUAACCUAAUUUUUGAUUCAAGACCGAGUCGGUACACAAUGCUGAUAUAUCUAUUUUACUCGAGGACGAGCAAAAUUUAAGUUGGAGG